rnacentral:rRNA from 1 species
CCUACGGGAGACAGCAGUGGGGGAUAUUGCACAAUGGGGGAAACCCUGAUGCAGCGACGCCGCGUGGGCGAAGAAGUAUUUCGGUAUUGAAAGCCCUAUCAGCAGGGAAGAAGAAAUAACGGUACCUGAGUAAGAAGCACCGGCUAAAUACGUGCCAGCAGCCGCGGUAAUACGGAUGGUGCAGGCGUUAUCCGGAUUUACUGGGUGUAACGGGAGCGCAGGCGGCACGGCAAGCCUGAUGUGAAAGCCCGCGGCCCAACCGCGGGAGUGCAUUGGGAACUACCGGGCUGGAGUGCCGGAGAGGUAGGCGGAAUUCGUAGUGUAGCGGUGAAAUGCGUAGAUAUUAGGAGGAACACCAGUGGCGAAGGCGGCCUACUGGACGGUGACUGACGCUGAGGCUCGAAAGCGUGGGGAGCAAACAGGAUUAGAUACCCGAGUAGUC